AAAGGAUUUAGAAUAUUACAUAAACUUAGCUCAUAAAGCAGAGGCAGGUUUUGAGAAGAUUGACUAAUUUUGAAAGAAGUUCUACCGUUGGUUCAAUGCUACCAAGCAGCAUUGCAUGCUACAGAGAAAUUGCUCAUUAAAGAAAAAGCCAAUCUGUGUGGCAGACUUCAUUGUUGUCUUAUUUUAGGAAAUAGCCACAUCCACCCCAGGCUUCAGCGACCACCGCUCUGAUCAGUCAGUGGCCAUCAACAUUGAGUCAAGAUCCUUCACCAGCAAAAUGACUACAACUCACUGAAGGUUCAGAUGAUGCAUAAACUUUGGAAUGCCCUCUUUAUACCAGACAUUGUGCUUUAAGACUCAGCUCUGGCCCUUAAGAAGCUUGAAGAGACAGGACAUGCACAUGCAAAGAUCUUUCUGGUGACAUCAUGGAUGGACCCAAGUGGAGAGAUGUGGGAGACAGAGGGAUAUAAGUCUGGGAAAGCAGUCACUGCCAGAAGAAAGGAAAAUAAGCCUCGUUUGAUUAUCACAGCUGAAAUUCUGUCACCAGAGAGUCAGUGCUUCAUGUGGGAUAUUGCUGUCUCCAAGGGAUCCUAAGAUGUCCCCUUGGCAAAGUUAACAAAGUAUUACAAGCACCGGAGUUCCCUGGUGGUGCAGUGGUUAAGAAUCCGCCUGCCAAUGCAGGGGACACGGGUUCGAGCCCUGGUCCGGGAAUAUCCCACAUGCCGCGGAGCAACU